GGUUCCUGUCCAACGUUAAUCGGGGCAGGGUGAGUCGACCCCUAAGGCGAGGCCGAAAGGCGUAGUCGAUGGGAAACGGGUUAAUAUUCCCGUACUUGGUGUUACUGCGAAGGGGGGACGGAGAAGGCUAUGUUGGCCGGGCGACGGUUGUCCCGGUUUAAGCGUGUAGGUGUGUGUUCCAGGUAAAUCCGGUUCACUUUAACACUGAGGCGUGAUGACGAGGCACUACGGUGCUGAAGCAACAAAUGCCCUGCUUCCAGGAAAAGCCUCUAAGCAUCAGGUAACAUCAAAUCGUACCCCAAACCGACACAGGUGGUCAGGUAGAGAAUACCAAGGCGCUUGAGAGAACUCGGGUGAAGGAACUAGGCAAAAUGGUGCCGUAACUUCGGGAGAAGGCACGCUGACACGUAGGUGAAGUGAUUUACUCAUGGAGCUGAAGUCAGUCGAAGAUACCAGCUGGCUGCAACUGUUUAUUAAAAACACAGCACUGUGCAAACACGAAAGUGGACGUAUACGGUGUGACGCCUGCCCGGUGCCGGAAGGUUAAUUGAUGGGGUCAGCGCAAGCGAAGCUCCUGAUCGAAGCCCCGGUAAACGGCGGCCGUAACUAUAACGGUCCUAAGGUAGCGAAAUUCCUUGUCGGGUAAGUUCCGACCUGCACGAAUGGCGUAAUGAUGGCCAGGCUGUCUCCACCCGAGACUCAGUGAAAUUGAACUCGCUGUGAAGAUGCAGUGUACCCGCGGCAAGACGGAAAGACCCCGUGAACCUUUACUAUAGCUUGACACUGAACAUUGAGCCUUGAUGUGUAGGAUAGGUGGGAGGCUUUGAAGUGUGGACGCCAGUCUGCAUGGAGCCGGCCUUGAAAUACCACCCUUUAAUGUUUGAUGUUCUAACGUGGACCCGUGAUCCGGGUUGCGGACAGUGUCUGGUGGGUAGUUUGACUGGGGCGGUCUCCUCCUAAAGAGUAACGGAGGAGCACGAAGGUUGGCUAAUCCUGGUCGGACAUCAGGAGGUUAGUGCAAUGGCAUAAGCCAGCUUGACUGCGAGCGUGACGGCGCGAGCAGGUGCGAAAGCAGGUCAUAGUGAUCCGGUGGUUCUGAAUGGAAGGGCCAUCGCUCAACGGAUAAAAGGUACUCCGGGGAUAACAGGCUGAUACCGCCCAAGAGUUCAUAUCGACGGCGGUGUUUGGCACCUCGAUGUCGGCUCAUCACAUCCUGGGGCUGAAGUAGGUCCCAAGGGUAUGGCUGUUCGCCAUUUAAAGUGGUACGCGAGCUGGGUUUAGAACGUCGUGAGACAGUUCGGUCCCUAUCUGCCGUGGGCGCUGGAGAACUGAGGGGGGCUGCUCCUAGUACGAGAGGACCGGAGUGGACGCAUCACUGGUGUUCGGGUUGUCAUGCCAAUGGCACUGCCCGGUAGCUAAAUGCGGAAGAGAUAAGUGCUGAAAGCAUCUAAGCACGAAACUUGCCCCGAGAUGAGUUCUCCCUGAGACUUUAGGUCUCCUGAAGGAACGUUGAAGACGACGACGUUGAUAGGCCGGGUGUGUAAGCGCAGCGAUGCGUUGAGCUAACCGGUACUAAUGAACCGUGAGGCUUAACCUU
rnacentral:rRNA from 1 species